rnacentral:rRNA from 1 species
UACGUAGGGUGCGAGCGUUGUCCGGAAUUAUUGGGCGUAAAGGGCUCGUAGGCGGUUUGUCGCGUCGGGAGUGAAAACCUUGGGCUUAACUCAGGGCUUGCUUUCGAUACGGGCAGACUAGAGGUAUGCAGGGGAGAACGGAAUUCCUGGUGUAGCGGUGAAAUGCGCAGAUAUCAGGAGGAACACCGAUGGCGAAGGCAGGUCUCUGGGCCGAUACUGACGCUGAGGAGCGAAAGCCAGGGGAGCAAACGGG